rnacentral:rRNA from 1 species
CCUACGGAAGCAGCAGUGGGGAAUAUUGGACAAUGGGCGAAAGCCUGAUCCAGCCAUGCCGCGUGUGUGAAGAAGGCCUUCGGGUUGUAAAGCACUUUCAGUGGGGAAGAAAGCCUUGGGGCUAAUACCCUCGAGGAAGGACAUCACCCACAGAAGAAGCACCGGCUAACUCCGUGCCAGCAGCCGCGGUAAUACGGAGGGUGCGAGCGUUAAUCGGAAUUACUGGGCGUAAAGCGCGCGUAGGCGGUCUGAUAAGCCGGUUGUGAAAGCCCCGGGCUCAACCUGGGAACGGCAUCCGGAACUGUCAGGCUAGAGUGCAGGAGAGGAAGGUAGAAUUCCCGGUGUAGCGGUGAAAUGCGUAGAGAUCGGGAGGAAUACCAGUGGCGAAGGCGGCCUUCUGGACUGACACUGACGCUGAGGUGCGAAAGCGUGGGUAGCAAACAGGAUUAGAUACCCCAGUAGUC